AGGCUGGUAGCUCAGUUCGGAGAUAAGCAUUCAUGCUUUUCGGACAAUAGAGCACUCGACUUUUAAUCGAGUGGUCGCGGGUUCAAAUCCCGUCCAGCCUA
rnacentral:tRNA from 1 species